rnacentral:rRNA from 1 species
CUGGCUCAGGAUGAACGCUAGCGGCAGGCUAACACAUGCAAGUCGAGGGGUAACAGAAGUAGCAAUACUUGCUGACGACCGGCGCACGGGUGAGUAACGCGUAUGCAACCUACCUUUGACUGGAGAAUAGCCCGAAGAAAUUCGGAUUAAUGCUCCAUGAGACCACAAUACCGCAUGAUAUAGUGGUAAAAGCUCCGGCGGUCAAAGAUGGGCAUGCGUGCCAUUAGUUAGUUGGUGAGGUUACGGCUCACCAAGACAACGAUGGCUAGGGGGUCUGAGAGGAUGAUCCCCCACACUGGUACUGAGACACGGACCAGACUCCUACGGGAGGCAGCAGUGAGGAAUAUUGGUCAAUGGACGCAAGUCUGAACCAGCCAUGCCGCGUGCAGGAUGAAUGCCCUAUGGGUUGUAAACUGCUUUUCUACAAGAAGAAACUUCCUGAUGUAUCAGGAACUGACGGUAUUGUAGGAAUAAGCAUCGGCUAACUCCGUGCCAGCAGCCGCGGUAAUACGGAGGAUGCAAGCGUUAUCCGGAUUCAUUGGGUUUAAAGGGUGCGUAGGCGGGGUAGUAAGUCAGUGGUGAAAGCCUGCGGCUUAACCGUAGAAUUGCCAUUGAUACUGCUAUUCUUGAGUGCAGUUGAGGUAGGCGGAAUGUGUAAUGUAGCGGUGAAAUGCUUAGAUAUUACACAGAACACCGAUUGCGUAGGCAGCUUACUAAACUGUAACUGACGCUGAGGCACGAAAGCGUGGGGAGCGAACCAGGAUUAGAUACCCUGGUAGUCCACGCUGUAAACUAUGAUCACUCGCUGUUGGCGAUACAUUGUCAGCGGCUGAGCGAAAGCAUUAAGUGAUCCACCUGGGGGAGUACGGCCGCAAGGUUGAAACUCAAAGGAAUUGACGGGG